UACGUAGGGUGCAAGCGUUAUCCGGAAUUAUUGGGCGUAAAGAGCUCGUAGGCGGUUUGUCGCGUCUGCUGUGAAAACUGGAGGCUCAACCUCCAGCCUGCAGUGGGUACGGGCAAACUAGAGUGCGGUAGGGGAGAUUGGAAUUCCUGGUGUAGCGGUGGAAUGCGUAGAGAUCCGGAGGAAGACCGGUGGCGAAGGCGGUCUGCUGGGCAGUUUCUGACACUGAGGCGCGACAGCGUGGGGAGCAACAGG
rnacentral:rRNA from 1 species